rnacentral:rRNA from 1 species
AGCAGCCGCGGUAAUUCCAGCUCCAAUAGCGUAUAUUAAAGUUGUUGCAGUUAAAAAGCUCGUAGUUGAACUUCAGGCCUGUCCAGACGGUCCGCCUUAAUUGGUGUGUACUGUCCUUGGGUGGGUCCUACCUUCUGGCGAAGCGGCAUGGCCUUAAUUGGUUGUGUCGGGGAACCAGGACUUUUUACUGUGAAAAAAUUAGAGUGUUCAAAGCAGGCAAAUAUGCUCGAAUACAUUAGCAUGGAAUAAUGGAAUAGGACGAUGGUUCUAUUUUGUUGUUUCUAGGACCGUUGUAAUGAUUAAUAGGGAUAGUUGGGGGCAUUAGUAUUCAAUUGUCAGAGGUGAAAUUCUUGGAUUUAUUGAAGACUAACUACUGCGAAAGCAUUUGCCAAGGAUGUUUUCAUUAAUCAAGAACGAAAGUUAGGGGAUCGAAGACGAAUCAGAUACCGUCGUAGUCUUAACCAUAAACUAUGCCGACUAGGAAUCGGGCGAGUGUUAGCAAAAUGAACUCGCUCGACAA